CUUUGGCUGAAUCCCUCGGUGCCACCGCACCCAAAUCCAUCCCCUGCUGGAAUUUCCUCCUCCAAACCCCCCAAAAUCNUGGUCAAAAUCAGGAUUUCUUUUUUAAAAAUAGCUUUUUAUUUACUUCUAGGAAGGCUCAGGGUGCUUGGGCAGAGAGCACAGGAUUCCCAUGCUCCAGAAAUUCAGUGGGAAUUCCCAUGCUCCAGAAAUUCAGUGGGAAUGGGGCAGCCAGGAGCCCCCUGUGCAGGGCGUGUGCCCCCAGCCCUGGCUCCCACACGAAGAAAUUCAUUUUCUGGCACAUCUAAGAGGUGCCUGCCUGUGCUGGGGUUGUCAGAGGAAGGAAAGCAGAGGCUCAGAAAAUGCUGUUCCCUUCUGCAGGAUGGAUUCCCAGCUGCUCCCAUGGAUUUUUCCAUCUGGGAUCUGGGUGGAGUUUGGAGGGCACUGGUCCCAUCAGCUCCCCCAGCCACCAAACACGGGGAGUUCAGCACCCAAAUCCCAGCUCAAAAAUCACCCAAAUUCCACCCCAAACAUCGCCCAGAGCACAACAUCCAAAUUCCUCCCACAUGGCACUUGGAGCACAACACUCAAAUCCCAGCUCAAAAAUCAGAAUUUGACCCAUAAAUCCCACCCCAAACAUCAAUCAGAGCACAGCACCCAAAUCCCUGCUCAAAAAUCACCUAAAUCACUUCUCAAAACUCAUCCAGAGUCCAACAUUCAAAUCCCACCUCAAAAAAAAUCACUCAGAGCUCGACCCCCAAAUCCCACCCCAAACAUCACCCAGAGCCCAGCACCCAAAUUCCUCCUAAAGAAAAAAAAUCACUCAAAGCUCAACAUUCAAAUCCCACCUCAAAAAUCACCCAGAGUUUGACCCCCAAAUCCCACCCCAAGUAUCAACCAGAGCACAACAUCCAAAUUCCUCCUGGAUGCCACUCAGAGCCAACACCCAAAUCCCAGCUCAAACAUCACUCAGAGUCUGACACCCAAAUUAAAAAAUCACUCAGGGCUCGACCCCCAAAUCCCACCCCAAACAUCACCCAGAGCACAGCACUCAAAUCACAUCUCAAAAAAAAUCACCCAGAGCUCAGCCCCCAAAUUCCUCCUGGAUGCCACUCGGAGCCAACACCCAAAUCCCAGCUCAAACAUCACUCCAGGGACAAUCCAGGCUGAGAAGAGCCCCAGAAGCUCCCAGCACCCCCAAAUCCCCCAAACCCAAACCCCCAGUCCCCCUCCGGGUGGGGGAAUGUCCCUGGCAAGGCACAGAGCUCACAGUGACGGUGCCACCAGGGCUGCUGGCAGUGAAGCAGCAGACCCCGGGUGACAGAGGUGACACAGCACGUGGUGACAGCACGUGGCACGAGGUGCCACCGGCUGGCAGCACACAGGAUUAAUUUAAUUAAUUAAUUCCCUGACCCCGCAGCUCCGUGUUCAGGGAUUAAUUCAUUAAUUCCUCGCUCUGUGUCGUUACAUGCACCAGGUCCUUUUAAGCAAACUAAUUCCUGCUCCCUUCCCAGAGCUCCUGAAAGAGCUCCCAGCAGAUGAAGCGCUGGGCUGAACCACUUGGUGCUGAAAUUUUACACAUCCCAGUUAAUGGAAUCACUUGGUUUCCGAGGGCUGAGCCCGGGCAGGGAGCAGCUCUGGAUGGGAGAGGGAUCAGACACAAAGGCUCUGAGGGAAGGCAGGGAAAAAAGAAAAAAAAAUCUACAGGCUCAUCCCCACUAGAAAAGAAAAGUGGGAUUUUAUCAGGAGCUGUCCAGGCAGCAGCAGGCUGGGGUGAUAAGGUUGGAGCAGCCCCAGGGGAUGGGCAGAGGCUUUUCCUGAAAUUCCCCAGGAUCCUGUCCCCAUUCCCCCAG
rnacentral:lncRNA from 12 species